rnacentral:lncRNA from 1 species
CGCGCGUGUGUGCGUGCGCGGGCGCGCGCGCGAGCUAAUGGGGAGCGAGGGAGAGGGAGAGGGGGAGAGAGACAGAAGAGGACAGGGAGAGCGCAGAGAGGAAAACUGCAGAAAACCUCAGGGAAAGUACGGUACAGCCUCAGAUCUUUUUAUUUAUUAUUUUUUAAACUUACUUCUAGUUUAUUUUCCCAUCACCCCCAGCUCUUGCCUAACCGGGUCCUGUCGUGGACGUUUGGCAUGGCGCUCUCGCUUUUGUUCCUCUUAAUUCCGCAGCACCUCCUCCUCUGCGCGCCGAUCGCAGCGCCCCGAAAUCUCCCUGCUAACGUCUGAGGGCGGCGGGCUCUGCAGACGCUACCACCGCCGGGCUAGAAUUUCUUUUUUUCCCCAAGUGGCACUUUCUUCCCCGUGCAGAUCCACGGCCCUUGUUGUCAAUAUUCAUUUUUCCCCCAGCUCAGAAAGAGACCAGCUUAACCCAGAGCAUACUCCCUCCAAGAGGUGCAGACAAGGGCCACCCCGAGAGGCUGUGGGGGCCGCGGCGGAGUCGGGAGGGGUCGUGGGGUGCUCGGGGUCCGACGUAGCCAGGGGGGUGUGUAUGUGGCGCGCGCGCGCGUCUGGUGUGCGCCUCAAAAGUGGGUCUUCAGCGAGCUGGAGAACCCGAGCGGGGGAGACCCGGGCUGGGGAGAGGAGAGGGAGAGAGCGCGGACGCCUGGCGAGGAGAGGCUGGCGCUCCCCGGCCAGCUUUGUUGUGGUCGCCCGAGGGGCGGCGGCGGGUCCCCGGGAACGCCGGCUGCCGGCCGUGGUAGUUACACCAGGGCGCCCGCGCCGGGCCGGGGAGCCGCGGCUGGCUCCGGAUGAACUUUUCCCGAAAGGAAAAGGAGGACAGUGAGAAAGGAAGGUAACUACCCUGCACGGUUUGUGUGGAAACUUUCUGGCCGAGGUCCGGUCCAAUCCCCUCCUCAAACUGCACCCGACUUUGCCUCGGCACUGCGGGUCCCACCGCGGCUGUGCGUCAGUCUCGCCGAGCCCCAGCUGGGGGCGGAGCUCUGGUCACCCCGAGCGCCACGCGCCGCGGCCCCCCACCCUCUCCGAGCGGCGCCGCGGGCCCCAACUUCUCGCCCUGGCGCUCGUACACGGGUCCUGGCCCAGAGAACCGAGAACAGGCAUUUCGUCAACAGCCGCCUCCCUCCCCCACUCUGAGCCCCUCCUGGAAAAUACAAAGUAGCGUGUGGUCCAAGCGCGGCUCUGGCCGGACUUUCCUGUGGGAGCGGGGUGGAUGGGAGUGGUUAGGAAGGGGAAAGUGCUCUGUGUGUGUGUGUGUGUGUGUGUGUGUGUGUGUGUGUGUGUGUGUGUGUGUGUGUGUAGAGGGAGGGCGAGGGAGAGAGAGAGAGGUGGGAGGGCUCUUUUUGGCCCCCUUUCCAUCUUUGCUACACUGUAAGCUCUUUCGGGCAACACCAAGUAGGGUAAGAGAGAAGCAUGCAGAGACUCCAAGACGAGUCGGGGAAAUUUGGCCUCGAUUUAAUAGGGCUAGGGAAUGAGCUCCGGAGGUCAAUAAAGCACUCCAAAAAUGAUGAAUGAUGGAGCACCUGUGAUGAUGAUAGUGAUUACCAGUGCAAUUAAACAGUUUGAUUAAAUGAGCCAUCAUAACAAUGAUGUCUGCGGGAAAUCGGCCCUCACAUAUAAAGAAAGAUAGUGCGGAGGGGCUGACAGAGGCGCGGAUCUCGAAGCGCCGGGGACGGGGCUGCCGUCUGCGAGGUACCCUGAGCGGGGACCGCAGGCUGCGGCAGCUUCAGAGAAGAGUCUAGCCUAGGAUUUCCGCCUUUUUCCUGGCUUCAAGCCUUGGAGACCCGACGGGUAUGAAACCUGGAGGUUGGGGGGGGGGCUCCUUCCACCUCCUCUUUUUUUUUUUUCCUAGAAGAACUCCAAGAUUAAAAAUAUCCUUCUCGUUUGAUGCCGAGUUGCUGGUCGACAUAUUUUUAAAAGGAUCCCCUCAAGUCUGAUAGGAAAGACAGGACCACUUCUGGACUAGCUAAAGGCAGGAUCCCUGGGAAGUGUUGCUGGUCUGCAU